GUCCAUACUGGUGUGGGAAGGGGUUGGACAAUGGGUUCUCCUGGGAUCUUCUAUUGGUUCCUUUUGGUCUCUAUUGACCUCUAUGGGUCCGUAGCGGCCCAUACUGGUCCCUAUUGGUCUAUACUGGUUUCUACUGGUCCAUACUGGUUUCUACUGGUCCAUACUGGUCUAUACUGGUCCAUACUGGUGUUGGAAGGGGUUGGACAAUGGGUUCUCCUGGGAUCUUCUAUUGGUUCCUAUGGCUCUCUAUUGACCUCUAUGGGUCCGUAAUGGCCCAUACUGGUCCCUAUUGGUCUAUACUGGUUUCUACUGGUCUAUACUGGUCUAUACUGGUCUAUACUGGUCCAUACUGGUCUAUACUGUUCCAUACUGGUCCAUACUGGUCCAUACUGGUCCAUACUGGUGUGGGAAGGGGUUGGACAAUGGGUUCUCCUGGGAUCUUCUACUGCUUCCUAUGGGCCUCUAUUGACCACUAUGGGUCCCUAUUGGUCUAUACUGGUUUCUACUGGUCCGUACUGGUCCAUACUGGUCUAUACUGGUCUAUACUGGUCCAUACUGGUCUAUACUGGUCCAUACUGGUGUGGGAAGGGGUUGGACAAUGGGUUCUCCUGGGAUCUUCUAUUG
ensembl:lncRNA